UACGAGAGGCCCAAACGUUUAUUCGGAUUUACUGGGCUUAAAGAGUUCGUAGGCGGUCCGUCAAGUGAGGUGUGAAAGCCCUCGGCUCAACCGAGGAAUUGCGCUUCAAACUGUCGGGCUCGAGGGAGAUAGAGGUGAGCGGAACUGAUGGUGGAGCGGUGAAAUGCGUUGAUAUCAUCAGGAACACCAGAGGCGAAGGCGGCUCACUGGGUCUUUUUCUGACGCUGAGGAACGAAAGCUAGGGGAGCAAACGGG
rnacentral:rRNA from 1 species